CCCGGCUCUGAAGGAGCAACUUGGAAUUGAUGUUCGUCUGAAGAGGGUUUCGCGGCCCAAAUCAGUGCCGAGCAUAUUCCCUCGGGGGACAAGCUCGAGGGGGGCGAGCGGCACCGACGCCAGCUGCAGGGGGUCUCGUGCUCUGGAGAAAAGGCAGCGGCUGGAGAUACUCCAGGAAUGCCAGUCUGAGUAGGCCUAUGUUGCUGCAGAGGAAAGAGAUGGCUUCACUGCUGACGGGGUCCCAUCAAUUGAUGUGUCAAGAAGAAGUUGCAGAGCCUUGGUCAAACCAGAGGUUGCCAGGAUGUCAAACCCUGGGUGGGAAGUAUAAUAAACCAUCUGUACUGGGCUGUGGUC